rnacentral:rRNA from 1 species
GGUUUUUAAUCAAUAAUAGAAAAUAUUAAAAAUAAAACUAAAAGGACGCGGUAACCUUGACCGUGAUAAUGUAGCAUAAUCACUCGCCAUUUAAUUGAUGGAUAGUAUGAAUGGUUGAACGAAUAUUCACUGUCUUAAAGAAAAUUAGAAGAAAUUGAAAUAAUAGUAAAGAUGCUAUUUAAAACUGUAAGACGAAAAGACCCUAUAGAGCUUAACUAUAAUCUCUUUAAUCAAUCAUAAAAAUAAUUUUUUACCAUAAAGAGAUUGGUAGUUUAGUUGGGGCGACUAUCUUCUAGAUAAAACGAAGAUAAGCAACGUUAAUAAAAAACUUAUUGUAUAAUAAAUUUAUUUAACAAUUAUUAAAGUAGGCUAUAUUGACCCGUUUUCACUCUAAAACAAGGGAAAACGAUCAAUUGAUAAAAGCUACCUUAGGGAUAACAGGAUAAUUUCAUUUUAGAGCUCAUAUCGAAAAUGAAGUUUGUCACCUCUAUGUUGAAUUAA